rnacentral:tRNA from 1 species
UGCUCUAGUAGCUUAGACAAAAAGCACCGGUCUUGUAAUCCGGAGAUCGAAGGUUAAAAUCCUUCCUAGUG